CAGUCGCCGCGGUAAUACGAGGGGGGCUAGCGUUGCUCGGAAUGACUGGGCGUAAAGGGCGCGUAGGCGGCGGCCAAAGUCAGGCGUGAAAUUCCCGGGCUCAACCUGGGGGCUGCGUUUGAUACUUGGUUGCUUGAGUGGGGAAGAGGGUCGUGGAAUUCCCAGUGUAGAGGUGAAAUUCGUAGAUAUUGGGAAGAACACCGGUGGCGAAGGCGGCGACCUGGUCCUUUACUGACGCUGAGGCGCGAAAGCGUGGGGAGCAAACAGGAUUAGAUACCCCGGUAGUCCCUGUCUCUUAUAC
rnacentral:rRNA from 1 species